GAUCCUGGCUUAGAUUGAACGCUGGCGGCAGGCUAACACAUGCAAGUCGAGCGGGGAAGAGUAGCUUGCUACUUACCUAGCGGCGGACGGGUGAGUAAUGCUUAGGAAUCUGCCUAUUAGUGGGGGGACAACAUCUCGAAAGGGAUGCUAAUACCGCAUACGUCCUACGGGAGAAAGCAGGGGACCUUCGGGCCUUGCGCUAAUAGAUGAGCCUAAGUCGGAUUAGCUAGUUGGUGGGGUAAAGGCCUACCAAGGCGACGAUCUGUAGCGGGUCUGAGAGGAUGAUCCGCCACACUGGGACUGAGACACGGCCCAGACUCCUACGGGAGGCAGCAGUGGGGAAUAUUGGACAAUGGGGGGAACCCUGAUCCAGCCAUGCCGCGUGUGUGAAAAGAAGGCCUUUUGGUUGUAAAGCACUUUAAGCGAGGAGGAGGCUACCGAGAUUAAUACUCUUGGAUAGUGGACGUUACUCGCAGAAUAAGCACCGGCUAACUCUGUGCCAGCCGCGGC
rnacentral:rRNA from 1 species